GAAAUUAAUGGUAACUUUUUGUUUUCUUACGUGAUGAACUGAGAUUGAUCGAGUCAUUGAGUGUCUCGAAAGGAAUCUCGAGGUGAGUCUCUAGUCUAAUGGUAACAAUGUGUUUCUCCACGGACCACGACGACUGUUCGUUCUUCCCUAAUUCAUUCACUUCUACGUGUUCUUCCUGUUCGUCCGUUUGAUUGAAGCUAUCUGAGUCUUCUCAUCAACGUACAGCAUUCCAAUCCAUGAAGGUGCUUGGGAAUGGAUCAAUGGAAUGACUAAGCUCAAAUGAACGACAGGAGGUCUGCAAACUAUAAUUUUAACCUCAUCUCUCAACAAUGGAGAAGCAUCAUUGAAAUGAAUCAUGGUUUCUAGACUAUCUACAUAAUUCUUGAUGAUCAGGAAGAUUGCAAUGGCCUGAAUCGAAGGAGAAGAAAACUGUUUUUAGAAGUGUGAGAUUCUUCUUCCGCCAAAAGGAGCUGCCAAAUCAGAACUGUAUUCAGGCAUAUUUGACAUACGUGAAGAUACAGUGGUGAAUCAUGGCUCACUAAUGGUCACAUGCGAAGAUAGGGUGGAGGAAUCACGGCUUACUAAUGGCUUUUCAGUGGUAUAUGUAAGAGGAUAAAGUAUCA